UACGUAGGGGGCUAGCGUUGUCCGGAUUUAUUGGGCGUAAAGAGCGUGUAGGCGGCCAGAUAGGUCUGCUGUGAAAACUCGAGGCUCAACCUCGAGCUGUCGGCGGAAACCAUUUGGCUAGAGUCCGGAAGAGGAGAGUGGAAUUCCAGGUGUAGCGGUGAAAUGCGUAGAUAUCGGGAGGAACACCUGUGGCGAAGGCGGCCGCCUGGUUGGAUACUGACGCUGAGACGCGAAAGCGUGGGGAGCAAACAGG
rnacentral:rRNA from 1 species